rnacentral:rRNA from 1 species
AGUGAACGCUGGCGGUAGGCCUAACACACGCAAGUCGAACGGCAGCACAGUAAGAGCUUGCUCUUACGGGUGGCGAGUGGCGGACGGGUGAGGAAUACAUCGGAAUCUACUUUUUCGUGGGGGAUAACGUAGGGAAACUUACGCUAAUACCGCAUACGACCUACGGGUGAAAGCAGGGGAUCUUCGGACCUUGCGCGAUUGAAUGAGCCGAUGUCGGAUUAGCUAGUUGGCGGGGUAAAGGCCCACCAAGGCGACGAUCCGUAGCUGGUCUGAGAGGAUGAUCAGCCACACUGGAACUGAGACACGGUCCAGACUCCUACGGGAGGCAGCAGUGGGGAAUAUUGGACAAUGGGCGCAAGCCUGAUCCAGCCAUACCGCGUGGGUGAAGAAGGACUUCGGGUUGUAAAGCCCUUUUGUUGGGAAAGAAAAGCAGCAGGUUAAUACCCCGCUGUUCUGACGGUACCCAAAGAAUAAGCACCGGCUAACUUCGUG